UCAGUUUUGAAGCAAAGUCUUUCAAAUGUGCAAGUGUAUUCUGUGUAUUGCAGUAUUCUGUUCCACAGUUCCGAUCCUGAUGCAGAUGUUUUGUGACUAAGCGAGGCGCGCCUUGAUGCAGUUGAGUGGCGAGCGGAAAUUUUCCGAGCUGUACUAUUGUUCAGAGGUCUAAGGCGGGUAGUAGCGGUUUGGGUGAGUCGCAUACUUUAUGGUCUCUCUGGCAC